CCUACGGGAGGCAGCAGUGAGGACUAUUGGUCAAUGGGCGAGAGCCUGAACCAGCCAAGUCGCGUGAGGGAGUACUGCCCUAUGGGUUGUAAACCUCUUUUGUCGGGGAGCAACAGCCGGACGUGUCCGGCUGUGAGAGUACCCGAAGAAAAAGCAUCGGCUAACUCCGUGCCAGCAGCCGCGGUACUACGGAGGAUGCGAGCGUUAUCCGGAUUUAUUGGGUUAAAAGGGUGCGCAGGCGGAUUUUUACGUAAGCGGUAAAAUCGUGGGGCUCAACCCCAUCCAGCCGUUGAAACUGGGGAUCUAGAGUGUGCGAGAGGUAUGCGGAAUGCGUGGGGUAGCGGUGAAAUGCAUAGAUAUCACGCAGAACCCCGAUUGCGAAGGCAGCAUACCGGUGCACAACUGACGCUCAGGCACGAAAGCGUGGGUAUCGAACAGGAUUAGAUACCCCUGUAGUC
rnacentral:rRNA from 1 species